rnacentral:rRNA from 1 species
GAUGAACGCUGGCGGCGUGCCUAAUACAUGCAAGUCGAGCGAACGGACGAGAAGCUUGCUUCUCUGAUGUUAGCGGCGGACGGGUGAGUAACACGUGGAUAACCUACCCAUAAGACUGGGAUAACUUCGGGAAACCGGGGCUAAUACCGGAUAAUAUUUUGAACCGCAUGGUUCAAAAGUGAAAGACGGUCUUGCUGUCACUUAUGGAUGGAUCCGCGCUGCAUUAGCUAGUUGGUAAGGUAACGGCUUACCAAGGCAACGAUGCAUAGCCGACCUGAGAGGGUGAUCGGCCACACUGGAACUGAGACACGGUCCAGACUCCUACGGGAGGCAGCAGUAGGGAAUCUUCCGCAAUGGGCGAAAGCCUGACGGAGCAACGCCGCGUGAGUGAUGAAGGUCUUCGGAUCGUAAAACUCUGUUAUUAGGGAAGAACAUAUGUGUAAGUAACUGUGCACAUCUUGACGGUACCUAAUCAGAAAGCCACGGCUAACUACGUGCCAGCAGCCGCGGUAAUACGUAGGUGGCAAGCGUUAUCCGGAAUUAUUGGGCGUAAAGCGCGCGUAGCGGUUUUUUAAGUCUGAUGUGAAAGCCCACGGCUCAACCGUGGAGGGUCAUUGGAAACUGGAAAACUUGAGUGCAGAAGAGGAAAGUGGAAUUCCAUGUGUAGCGGUGAAAUGCGCAGAGAUAUGGAGGAACACCAGUGGCGAAGGCGACUUUCUGGUCUGUAACUGACGCUGAUGUGCGAAAGCGUGGGGAUCAAACAGGAUUAGAUACCCUGGUAGUCCACGCCGUAAACGAUGAGUGCUAAGUGUUAGGGGGUUUCCGCCCCUUAGUGCUGCAGCUAACGCAUUAAGCACUCCGCCUGGGGAGUACGACCGCAAGGUUGAAACUCAAAGGAAUUGACGGGGACCCGCACAAGCGGUGGAGCAUGUGGUUUAAUUCGAAGCAACGCGAAGAACCUUACCAAAUCUUGACAUCCUUUGACAACUCUAGAGAUAGAGCCUUCCCCUUCGGGGGACAAAGUGACAGGUGGUGCAUGGUUGUCGUCAGCUCGUGUCGUGAGAUGUUGGGUUAAGUCCCGCAACGAGCGCAACCCUUAAGCUUAGUUGCCAUCAUUAAGUUGGGCACUCUAAGUUGACUGCCGGUGACAAACCGGAGGAAGGUGGGGAUGACGUCAAAUCAUCAUGCCCCUUAUGAUUUGGGCUACACACGUGCUACAAUGGACAAUACAAAGGGCAGCGAAACCGCGAGGUCAAGCAAAUCCCAUAAAGUUGUUCUCAGUUCGGAUUGUAGUCUGCAACUCGACUACAUGAAGCUGGAAUCGCUAGUAAUCGUAGAUCAGCAUGCUACGGUGAAUACGUUCCCGGGUCU